rnacentral:rRNA from 1 species
CUGGCGGCGUGCCUAACACAUGCAAGUCGAACGGAGGUAGCAAUACCUUAGUGGCGCACGGGUGAGUAAUGCAUGGGAGAUCUGCCCUACGGAGAUGGAUAGCUACGGGAAACUGUAAUUAAUACGUCGUAAGCAGUAGUCUAGAGAGAGAUUACUGGAAAGGCUGGGACCGUAAGGCCAGUCGCCGAAGGAUGAGCCCAUGUCCCAUUAGCUUGUUGGUAGGGUAAAAGCCUACCAAGGCGAAGAUGGGUAACUGGUCUGAGAGGAUGAUCAGUCACACUGGAACUGAGACACGGUCCAGACUCCUACGGGAGGCAGCAGUGGGGAAUAUUGCGCAAUGGACGAAAGUCUGACGCAGCAACGCCGCGUGAGUGAAGAAGGCCUUUGGGUUGUAAAGCUCUUUCGGCCGGGAAGAAGGGUGAUGGUGUUAAUAGCAUUAUCAUUUGAUGGUACCGGAAGAAGAAGCACCGGCUAACUUCGUGCCAGCAGCCGCGGUAAUACGAAGGGGG